rnacentral:rRNA from 1 species
GACGAACGCUGGCGGCGUGCUUAACACAUGCAAGUCGAACGGGAGUAUUGAAGAAGCUUGCUUUAGAGAUACUUUAGUGGCGGACGGGUGAGUAACGCGUGAGGAGCUGUCCCUAUGCAGGGGGACAACAGCUGGAAACGGCUGCUAAUACCCCAUAAGCCGAGAGGUAAAAGGAUCAAUCCGGCAGAGGAGGUACUCGCGUCCUAUCAGCUAGUAGGUGAGGUAACGGCUCACCUAGGCGAAGACGGGUAGCCGGCCUGAGAGGGCGAACGGCCACACUGGAACUGAGAUACGGUCCAGACUCCUACGGGAGGCAGCAGUGGGGAAUAUUGGGCAAUGGGGGAAACCCUGACCCAGCGACGCCGCGUGGGUGAAGAAAUCCUUCGGGAUGUAAAGCCCUGUUGUAUGGGAAGAGCGGAAGACGGUACCAUACGAGGAAGCCCCGGCAAACUACGUGCCAGCAGCCGCGGUAAGCACGAGAGUA